GAUCAGUGAUCAAAAAUAGCCAAAUAUGCACAUCAGGAGACCAUCUGGUCUUUGUGGUACAUGAUCUACAUGUAUUUCUGAGA
rnacentral:snoRNA from 1 species